AUUUAAUUAGUUUAUGAAAACAUUACAUUUUCAUUGUAAAAAUAACAUUAUGUUAUUAAAUA
rnacentral:tRNA from 1 species